rnacentral:rRNA from 1 species
AUUGAACGCUGGCGGCAGGCCUAACACAUGCAAGUCGAGCGGAUGAAGGGAGCUUGCUCCUGGAUUCAGCGGCGGGCGGGUGAGUAAUGCCUAGGAAUCUGCCUGGUAGUGGGGGAUAACGUCCGGAAACGGGCGCUAAUACCGCAUACGUCCUGAGGGAGAAAGUGGGGGAUCUUCGGACCUCACGCUAUCAGAUGAGCCUAGGUCGGAUUAGCUAGUUGGUGGGGUAAAGGCCUACCAAGGCGACGAUCCGUAACUGGUCUGAGAGGAUGAUCAGUCACACUGGAACUGAGACACGGUCCAGACUCCUACGGGAGGCAGCAGUGGGGAAUAUUGGACAAUGGGCGAAAGCCUGAUCCAGCCAUGCCGCGUGUGUGAAGAAGGUCUUCGGAUUGUAGAGCACUUUAAGUUGGGAGGAAGGGCAGUAAGUUAAUACCUUGCUGUUUUGACGUUACCAACAGAAUAAGCACCGGCUAACUUCGUG